UACGUAGGUGACAAGCGUUGUCCGGAUUUACUGGGCGUAAAGAGCGCGCAGGCGGUCGAUCAAGUCGAGUGUGAAAGCCCCCCGGCUCAACUGGGGAGGGUCAUUCGAAACUGGUCGACUCGAAGGCAGGAGAGGGUAGUGGAAUUCCCGGUGUAGUGGUGAAAUGCGUAGAUAUCGGGAGGAACACCAGUGGCGAAGGCGACUACCUGGCCUGUUCUUGACGCUGAGGCGCGAAAAGCUAGGGGAGCAAACGGGG
rnacentral:rRNA from 1 species